AUAAAUGAUUUUGCAUUUUUCUUUGUUUCUAUGCCUUCAUUUUUGCUGCAUAGAAAAACAGUGUCUUUUUGUGCUUUUUUUUAAGCUUGUGAAUCUGUUGAACUCAUUCUUUUUUUAAUUCUUAUUUUUUAAUUUUAAAAUUAACUUACAAAUUAAUAGGUUUCCAUAUGUGUGAAGGAAAAUGGCCCUUAAAGUAAGUGGCAAUAUUAAGAAGUGUGGCCUGCUUUUUUUCCUUGUCCAAAGUGUCUGCCUGAGUUUUAGAUUGAUUCGGAUGACAAAUGAAAUCUCAAAACAGUCUGGUAUAGACUGUGUUGUGUAGUUAUUAGUGUUAACUCUAAUGAAGAUUUAUAAUGAAAAGGAGAAGGCUGAGUAAUGAAAAAUACAAAAUGUACAAUUUGAGGAGAGAAGGAGCUCCAGGAAGUGGAAUGGAGCUGUGUUUAAGGAGAUAAACAAAUUAAGAAAUGGAAUAAAGGGAGUGGUGACCUCAGGGCAAAAUUCCACCCAGCUAAAUUUCCAACUUGUGAAUGGAAUUAAAGAAAAACUUGAAAUCAGAGGCGGCGGUACAGGCUCUUAAUCCCAGCACACCAGAGGUAGAGGCAGAUGCCUGAGUUUGAGGCCAGUCUGGACUACAGAUCCAGUUUCAGGAAAAGCCAAACUUAGGCAGUGAAGGAAACCAUCAAAACCAGGAAGUUGGUGCAGAUGUAAUUGAAUAAGGGGCCAUGUCCUAGCCCUAGCUAGCAGCAGAACUUGGCAGCCUUAGCUGAUGUGGGAUUUCCCUCUGUGUGCUAUGAAUAUGUUUUAUUAUCAUUGAUUAUUAAAGAAGCUGUUUUGGCCAAUGGCUUAGUAAAGUAAAGCCAGGCAAGAAAUCCGAACAGAGAUAUAGAGAGAAAGUAGGCAGAAUCAGAGAGAUGCCAUGUAGUUGCUGAAGGAGAAGGACUCAGAUGCCAGCCAGAACCUUACCAUCAGUUAGUCACAGCCUUGUGGUGACACACAGAUGAAUUGAAAUGGGUUAAGAAUUAGCUAGGAAUAUGCCUAACUAUUGGCCAAGCAGUGUUGUAAUUAAUAUAGUUUCUGUGUGAUUAUUCAGGUGUGGCAGCCAGAAAAUGAAUGAGCAGCUUCUGCCUAUACUUAGCCACAUGGUUCUAGCUUUAAGGGUAGAGGAAAGGGGUUGGGUAUGGAAUAUUAUUCUGCAACUAAGAAAAGCUGAUGAGGCUAGGUAUGUAUUGGGGUUUCCCUGCAUGGAAGCCUAGAGGGGUCAUUGUGUGGAGUUGUGAAGUUGAAGCCUGGAUUGCUUUGGAGACCCCGAGAUCUUGGAGGUGCCAGAGCCAUGGAAUAUUUGCUGAGGAGAGCUGAUAACAGGGAGUAGAGUCAGCCCAAGAGAAGAAAUAUGUUGCAGUCAACAAAACUGAGCAGAGUUGGAGACCUGAAGUGCGUUUUGACAUCAGACACGGAGAUGCAGAGUUUGGAGUGUGCCUAGUUGUUUUUUGGCCUUGGUUUUUCUUACUGGCUGAUUUUAUGCCAACUUGACACAAGCCAGAGUCUUCAGAGAGGAAGGAACCUUAGCUGAGGAAAUGCCUCCAUGAGAUCCAGCUGUAAGGCAUUUUCUUAAUAGUGGUCAGUGUGGGAAGUCCCAGCCCUUGGCUGUUGGUUCUGGGUUCUGUAAGAAAGCAGGCUGAUAAAACCAUGGGAAGGAAGCUAGUAAGCCGCUCCCCUCCAUGGCCUCAGCAUUAACUCCUGUCUCCAGGGUCCUGCCCUGCUUUGAGUUCCUGUCCUUGAGUUCCUUCAGUGAUGAACAGCGAUGUGAAAGUAUAAGCCAAAUAAACUUCUCCUCCCCAACUUGUUUUUGGUCAUAAAUGUUUUGUUGCAUCAGUGGAAACCGUAACUAAGACAUAUUGGUACCAGCGUAGUGGGGUAUUGCAGUGGUAGACCUGACCAUUCUUUGGGGAGGAUUGUGGAAGGACUUUGGGACUUGGGGAUAGAAGAGUCUUUUAGUGUUAAGAGCUCUGAGGAUGUUCUGUGGGAGCUUUGAGAUAAGAAUGUUAAGAGCAGUGCAGAAGAUAGAGAUCAGGCUUGAGAAGUUUAAAGACUCAGGUCUGUUUGUUAUUUUGAAUUAACAUCCCAUGAUCCUGGUUAGCUCGGGUUGAAGAAUCAGCAGUGAUUAACAAGAUACCAAAAAUUGCUAAAAUAGUUUUGCUUUGCUUGGAUACUUGACACAGGUCAGCUGGAGCUAAGGAAUUAGCAGUGAUUAAGAAGAGACCAGCAGCUGAGCAGUGGUGGAGCACGCCUUUAAUCCCAGCACUCGGCAGGCAGAGGUAGGUGGGUCUCUGUGAGUUUGAGGUGAGCCUGAUUGAUCUACAGAGCGAGUUCCAGGACAGGCUCCAAAGCAACGCAGAGAAACCCAGUCUUGAGAAACCAAACCAAAGCUGGCCGCGCAGGAUUUGGUGAUGUAUAAGACUCAUCCAGGUAGUACUGGUUUUGAAGGCAUGAAGGGGUCACAGCUGAGACUUGUCACUGUGAGAAACCACGAGAGGCCAUUGGUGCAGCCUCAGUGGUGGUUGAAGGCCCAGGACUGAGGGAGUUGAAGGCCCAGGACUGAGGGAGUGAUUCAAAGAAGCUGAGGCUUGACACCGUGAAAAGAGCCUUUGAGAGGCUGCUGGUGAGAGUGCAGCCCAGUUGCAGCAGAGACCCCAGCGUUUUGGAGAUGCCAGUGCCAUGGGAUGACCACCAAGAACAGCAGCAGUGGGGGAGCAGAGCCAGCCGGAGCCUGGAAGACAGCGGUGUGUGCUGCAGAGGGUGGAGCUGGAGAAGUGACCAAGCCCUUCGGAGGAGCCCAGAAGAUGGUUCCUGCCCAGUUUGAGUUCCUGUCCUGACUUCCUCAACUGAUAAACAGAGCUGUGUCAAGAUGUUGUUUGGGUUCUCAGCUCCUUCUCCAGCACCGUGUCUGUCUGCAUGCUGCCGUGAUGAUAAUGGACUAAACCUCUGAAAAUGAUUCUGGAAGAGCGAGGUCGACGUGCCAGUGGAAUCGAAGUCUGGGGAGUGCUGCUUUCUGGGCUAGAGAGGUGUGUUCUUGCCGUGUCCUCACGUGGAGGGACCACAAGGGACACGAGGGACGUGAUGAGGACAUCUACUCCAGAGCCCCCAUAAAUAAGCAAAGCGUCCCCUCCAAAUACCACACCCUAGUUUAAGAGACACCUUUGAAGCAGAGACGCUCACUCUCCAGCUCUGUUACUGACUGAUUUUAUCGAUUUACAGUUUAUUUUCCUCUGAUUCCAUCUAUUAUAUUCUGUCCUUCAACCACAGUUCCCUCUAUAAGUGCUGUGAAUCUCUGACUUCAGGGCAUGCAUGGCCUGGCUGUGCACACACCAGUUUAUAGUAUCUGUGGUCACCUACACAAGAUCCACCUGAGAUCAAGCCAGUUGACCUUCCAGCACAGACUGGAGGUUCUUCAGAGGCUGGUCUCUAGCUGAGCCGCUAUUGGCUGUUGAUAGCUGUUGAAGGAGGAAGAGUCACUUUUCCUUAGGAGCGUGGCCACUGGUAGGUUCCCCAAGCCCCAGUGGAUGGCCACACACCUGUGUGCCCAUGGGCAACACCAAUUAGACUCAGUGGGUUAAAAAUCAAGUAAGUAAAUAAAUCAAAACUACAA